rnacentral:misc_RNA from 1 species
AAGUCGUAACAAGGUUUCCGUAGGUGAACCUGCGGAAGGAUCAUUAACACAAUUUUACUGUGAUAAAAUCCGUUGAAUUCUCUCUCGAGAAUUCAAUGGUAUCCACCCCCAUUAUUGACGAACUUUUCUUAGAUGUUUCAAAAAACAUAGAGGCUGCUUAGUCUUUACGUGUUUUGAAAACAUUCUAAAAACCUUUUUCUUUACCCUAUAACAUUUUUUAACCCCUUUUACAACAUGCCUUAGACUGAAAUGAAAAUUUCUUUAUUAUCAAAAAAUGAUAAAAAACAACUCUUAACAACGGAUAUCUUGGCUCUC